rnacentral:rRNA from 1 species
ACUACGGGUGGCAGCAGUGGGGAAUAUUGGGCAAUGGGCGCAAGCCUGACCCAGCAACGCCGCGUGAAGGAAGAAGGCCCUCGGGUUGUAAACUUCUUUUGUCAGGGACGAAACAAAUGACGGUACCUGACGAAUAAGCCACGGCUAACUACGUGCCAGCAGCCGCGGUAAGACGUAGGUGGCAAGCGUCAUCCGGAUUUACUGGGUGUAAAGGGCGUGUAGGCGGGAGAGCAAGUCAGAUGUGAAAUUCCAGGGCUCAACCCUGGAACUGGAUUUGAAACUGUUUUUCUUGAGUGAUGGGGAGGCAGGCGGAAUUCCGUGUGUAGCGGUGAAAUGCGUAGAUAUACGGAGGAACACCAGUGGCGAAGGCGGCCUGCUGGACAUUAACUGACGCUGAGGCGCGAAAGCGUGGGGAGCAAACAGGAUUAGAUACCCGAGUAGUC